rnacentral:rRNA from 1 species
AACGAACGCUGGCGGCAUGCCUAACACAUGCAAGUCGAACGAGACCUUCGGGUCUAGUGGCGCACGGGUGCGUAACGCGUGGGAACCUGCCCUUAGGUUCGGAAUAACUCCCCGAAAGGGGUGCUAAUACCGGAUAAUGUCUUCGGACCAAAGAUUUAUCGCCUUUGGAUGGGCCCGCGUUGGAUUAGCUAGUUGGUAGGGUAAAAGCCUACCAAGGCGACGAUCCAUAGCUGGUCUGAGAGGAUGAUCAGCCACACUGGGACUGAGACACGGCCCAGACUCCUACGGGAAGCAGCAGUGGGGAAUAUUGGACAACGGGCGAAAGCCUGAUCCAGCAAUGCCGCGUGAGUGAUGAAGGCCUUAGGGUUGUAAAGCUCUUUUAACCGGGAUGAUAAUGACAGUACCGGGAGAAUAAGCCCCGGCUAACUCCGUG